AGACCCCAUCAGAGACCAGAACAGCAUUUAACGUGCCAGGCAGGGUUCGUGCACGGCCUGUUAUUAAACAGAAAUGCCCAAUGUGCAGUACCCUCAUGAAUAAAAAAAAUAUAAAAAAACAUAUUGACCAUAAACACACAAAUCAACCAAUUCAGGACAUUAAUGCCAGAUUCCACCUUGCAAGCCAGUGUGUAGACAAAACAAAUGGCAUAUUCACAGUGCUUAAAGUUGCAAGUGGUCAGAGUAGUCCUCUGCAUGUCCAAUACAAAACAUGGGGAGAACAACAAAAAGUCUGCUGCGAAUCAAACGAAUGCCAAGUAAACAUGGAAGUAGCACAGAGGAGUGGUCUGUUAUCCUAUCAGUGUAUGCAUGUCAGAUCUGUAAGUUUCUGCACAUCCUCAGCUGAAGCAGUCUCUCUAAAGGAAGACGUUUUAAUGGAAAUGGUGAGAGCAAAGUGGUUUGGUGAUGAGAAGAAAAACAUUUGCCUUGCUCGUCAGCAGCUUGCUGUUUCUAGCAGUAUACCACUGUCUGUAGAAACCUCAAUUGGCAGUCCUCAAACAAAAAAGUUCAUCUCCGUUUUUGAGCCAAAUGUGUCCUAUUAUAGCCGGUUGGGGCGUGUCAUUGUUGUUUACAACACCAAAUUAAACACAUGGCACUGCCCCUGUUCCAAAGUGCGCCGUUCAUGUCCGCAUAAGUACAUUGCGAAAUGGCAUCUAUUUCAAACAGACCGUGAGCUUUUCCGUACUGUCUUCAGCAGAGAAGAAUCCCCACCCCAAAAGGCUCAUACACAUUCAGAGGAGAGCAACGUCACAGAAGACCAUCCAUUGUAUCCUCCACAUGAUCUGGGACUGAAACAAAUGGUACAGUACAUUUUACAGAACAAGAUGAUACCUGCUGUCCUACCAGAAAAUAUACGUGCACCAUCACUAGGCAAAGACUACUAAAAAUAUCUUUGUCCAGAAGAAACUGUGUGUCAUAGAUGCCCAGGUGUCGUCCCCCUUAGUGACCCUAUUUUAAUAACAAAGAGAGCUAAAAUACUCUCCAACUGGUGCAUUGUUGAAGAAGUAUCAACCUACUGUAAGCAGUGCCCACUGUGUGGAAUGUUUUAUCGCUACCAAGAGUGGAAAGACCAACUCCACAACUUUAACGACCACAUCAUCCUUGACAUACACUUAAUGCUUAACUUUAAGAAACCUUCUACAGGCCCAUACUGCUGUGAGCAGAGCAGUCGAGUUUUUGCAAGAUUUGACAGGUCUGAAAUUUCCACCAGCAGACACCGUGCUUCAUGCAUACUUGCACUUUGAGGCCCUUACUGAUCAUGAGUACAAGUAUUCCUGCAUUACUUGUGGUGAUCAUCCCCCUGUGGUGAUCAUGGAUUUACACAAAAAAGGUGUUUUCCAUUUAUCAGUAAGUGACAUCCAGAGUCCUGCAGAGAAUUUUGAUGGGGAGGUCAACCUGGAAUAGUUUUGGGAGGCCAUGUCCUGUGAUAUGAUUGGUCGUGGAUUUGUUGCAAGUGGUAGACACAAUUCAUGUGCGGUAUCACCAACAUACCAUUUUUGGGCUCCUUGGAUAGGGAAAGCCACACGGCGUUCAGACUCUGUACUAAACACAGAGUUUGAAAAGAUUCAUGUUUCAAAGUCUGUAUCUGAAAUUUCUGAAAUUACGGUUACAGAGGACAGACUCAGAGAAGAAAUAUACAAACAAAAGGUUGUGGUCAUUCGGAAGUUAUGUAAAGAAUGUGGCUUGGACUCCAAUGGAUCCCGCAGUGAUCUUCUUCAGAGGUUGUCAAAUGAAAUGAAAUCCAGACAAACGUAUGACAAAAUCUUUGACAAAAUAUGGGGGGCCUCUGGAGGCUGGGCAGUGAUCAUGUGCCCAUGUGGGAUUGUUUACAGUAUCAAAUGCAAUCUCCGAGCUGAGAGCCCUCGAGACUUCGCAGACUUACUAUUAUCCUGGAAGCAUAUGCCAAAUGUCAUAAUUUAUGACUUUGCACGGGGUCUUGCAACUCACUUGAAUUUAAGGGCAUCAGAAGAGGUACCUAUCUCAUCCAUUUGAGGGUCGCUUGGCAGAACCCACUCAAUCCAACAUCGAAUUGGCCAAAUGUGGACAGCUUAAAGUGUCGCUACCUUGGCUGAACACUAAGAAGACAGAGCCAGACCUUAAUGGUCACCCAGUUACGGGUACAUCGGAUCACUAUGUGCUGUAUGAUCGGUUUCAUGAAGCCAAUACAAAAGACAGCAAAGAUGUGUUGAGGAAGCUCACUCUAGUACCUCAAUUGGCUGGCAAAGUGAAUAGCCAGGUUGCAGAGCAACUCUUCGCAAAGAUGAAAAAAAAAAAACUACUUUUUGAACAUGUCUUUGCCAUCGACCCAUCUCUUUUAAAUGAGGAACAUAAUUCAUCACUAUAAUGAAAAGAAAAACAACAAAUUGCUGGAAAGA